rnacentral:rRNA from 1 species
UAGGGAAUCUUCGGCAAUGGGGGGAACCCUGACCGAGCAACGCCGCGUGAGUGAAGAAGGUUUUCGGAUCGUAAAGCUCUGUUGUUAAGGAAGAACGAGUGUGAGAAUGGAAAGUUCAUGCUGUGACGGUACUUAACCAGAAAGGGACGGCUAACUACGUGCCAGCAGCCGCGGUAAUACGUAGGUCCCGAGCGUUGUCCGGAUUUAUUGGGCGUAAAGCGAGCGCAGGCGGUUAGAAAAGUCUGAAGUGAAAGGCAGUGGCUCAACCAUUGUAGGCUUUGGAAACUGGUUAACUUGAGUGCAGAAGGGGAGAGUGGAAUUCCAUGUGUAGCGGUGAAAUGCGUAGAUAUAUGGAGGAACACCGGUGGCGAGGGCGACUCGCUGGUCUGUAACUGACGCUGAGGCUCGAAAGCGUGGGUAGCAAACAGG